AGCAAAGACCAAUCUUGUUUGCAGUGGAGACCGGCAAUCUUAUACCGAGAAAUACGGGCCAUGGGGUGACCAUCAUGUGUGUUCAAGGAAUCAUCUCACAGAAGUGUGGAGAAACUCUGUUCAUAGACCCCAUUACAGAGGACUGCAUUUUCCUUCUGAAGCCUGUCACCAGUACCAGGUUUCAUGAAGCAAGACAAGAGCAUGCCAGCACAGACAGAAUAUUAAAGGAAGCCUCUCCUGCCUGGUGUGUCUGUGCAGCCCAUGCCUGUGUGUAGGCACGAAGGGCUCCCAGGGAACUGUUGGCUCCAAGCACCAAGCAAGGGGGAAAAUUUCAAUAAAAGCAACAUGUGGCAUUUAGCUUAUUGCUUUACCUCA